rnacentral:rRNA from 1 species
AUUGAACGCUGGCGGCGUGCCUUACACAUGCAAGUCGAACGGCAGCACGGGUGCUUGCACCUGGUGGCGAGUGGCGAACGGGUGAGUAAUACAUCGGAACGUACCUUAUCGUGGGGGGUAACGCAGCGAAAGCUGUGCUAAUACCGCAUACGCCCUGAGGGGGAAAGCGGGGGAUCGAAAGACCUCGCGCGAUUAGAGCGGCCGAUGCCUGAUUAGCUUGUUGGUGGGGUAAAAGCCCACCAAGGCGACGAUCAGUAGCUGGUCUGAGAGGACGAUCAGGCACGCUGGGACUGAGACACGGCCCAGACUCCUACGGGAGGCAGCAGUGGGGAAUUUUGGACAAUGGGGGCAACCCUGAUCCAGCAAUGCCGCGUGAGUGAAGAAGGCCUUCGGGUUGUAAAGCUCUUUUGUCAGGGAAGAAACACCGGCUCUAACACAGUCCGGGAAUGACGGUACCUGAAGAAUAAGCACCGGCUAACUACGUGCCAGCCGCCGCCGUAA